rnacentral:rRNA from 1 species
GGUUAAGCGACUAAGCGUACACGGUGGAUGCCCUGGCAGUCAGAGGCGAUGAAGGACGUGCUAAUCUGCGAAAAGCGUCGGUAAGGUGAUAUGAACCGUUACAGCCGGCGAUGUCCGAAUGGGGAAACCCAGUGCAAUUCGUUGCACUAUCGUUAACUGAAUACAUAGGUUAACGAGGCGAACCGGGGGAACUGAAACAUCUAAGUACCCCGAGGAAAAGAAAUCAACCGAGAUUCCCCCAGUAGCGGCGAGCGAACGGGGAGCAGCCCAGAGUCUGAAUCAGCUUGUGUGUUAGUGGAACGGUCUGGAAAGUCCGACGGUACAGGGUGAUAGUCCCGUACACCAAAAUGCACAGGUUGUGAACUCGAAGAGUAGGGCGGGACACGUGGUAUCCUGUCUGAAUAUGGGGGGACCAUCCUCCAAGGCUAAAUACUCCUGACUGACCGAUAGUGAACCAGUACCGUGAGGGAAAGGCGAAAAGAACCCCGGCGAGGGGAGUGAAAAAGAACCUGAAACCGUGUACGUACAAGCAGUGGGAGCACCUUUAUGGUGUGACUGCGUACCUUUUGUAUAAUGGGUCAGCGACUUAUAUUCUGUAGCAAGGUUAACCGUAUAGGGGAGCCGCAGGGAAACCGAGUCUUAACUGGGCGUUAAGUUGCAGGGUAUAGACCCGAAACCCGGUGAUCUAGCCAUGGGCAGGUUGAAGGUUGGGUAACACUAACUGGAGGACCGAACCGACUAAUGUUGAAAAAUUAGCGGAUGACUUGUGGCUGGGGGUGAAAGGCCAAUCAAACCGGGAGAUAGCUGGUUCUCCCCGAAAGCUAUUUAGGUAGCGCCUCGUGAAUUCAUCUUCGGGGGUAGAGCACUGUUUCGGCUAGGGGGUCAUCCCGACUUACCAACCCGAUGCAAACUACGAAUACCGAAGAAUGUUAUCACGGGAGACACACGGCGGGUGCUAACGUCCGUCGUGAAGAGGGAAACAACCCAGACCGCCAGCUAAGGUCCCAAAGUCACAGUUAAGUGGGAAACGAUGUGGGAAGGCACAGACAGCCAGGAUGUUGGCUUAGAAGCAGCCAUCAUUUAAAGAAAGCGUAAUAGCUCACUGGUCGAGUCGGCCUGCGCGGAAGAUGUAACGGGGCUAAACUGUGCACCGAAGCUGCGGCAGCGACACUAUGUGUUGUUGGGUAGGGGAGCGUUCUGUAAGCCUGCGAAGGUGGCCUGUGAGGGUUGCUGGAGGUAUCAGAAGUGCGAAUGCUGACAUAAGUAACGAUAAUGCGGGUGAAAAGCCCGCACGCCGGAAGACCAAGGGUUCCUGUCCAACGUUAAUCGGGGCAGGGUGAGUCGACCCCUAAGGCGAGGCCGAAAGGCGUAGUCGAUGGGAAACAGGUUAAUAUUCCUGUACUUGGUGUUACUGCGAAGGGGGGACGGAGAAGGCUAUGUUAGCCGGGCGACGGUUGUCCCGGUUUAAGCAUGUAGGCGGAGGUUCCAGGUAAAUCCGGUACCUUUUAACGCUGAGGUGUGAUGACGAGGCACUACGGUGCUGAAGUAACAAAUGCCCUGCUUCCAGGAAAAGCCUCUAAGCAUCAGGUAACAUUGAAUCGUACCCCAAACCGACACAGGUGGUCAGGUAGAGAAUACCAAGGCGCUUGAGAGAACUCGGGUGAAGGAACUAGGCAAAAUGGUGCCGUAACUUCGGGAGAAGGCACGCUGAUGUGUAGGUGAAGCCCCUGCGGGUGGAGCUGAAAUCAGUCGAAGAUACCAGCUGGCUGCAACUGUUUAUUAAAAACACAGCACUGUGCAAACACGAAAGUGGACGUAUACGGUGUGACGCCUGCCCGGUGCCGGAAGGUUAAUUGAUGGGGUUAUCCGUAAGGAGAAGCUCUUGAUCGAAGCCCCGGUAAACGGCGGCCGUAACUAUAACGGUCCUAAGGUAGCGAAAUUCCUUGUCGGGUAAGUUCCGACCUGCACGAAUGGCGUAAUGAUGGCCAGGCUGUCUCCACCCGAGACUCAGUGAAAUUGAACUCGCUGUGAAGAUGCAGUGUACCCGCGGCAAGACGGAAAGACCCCGUGAACCUUUACUAUAGCUUGACACUGAACAUUGAGCCUUGAUGUGUAGGAUAGGUGGGAGGCUUUGAAGCGUGGACGCCAGUCUGCGUGGAGCCAACCUUGAAAUACCACCCUUUAAUGUUUGAUGUUCUAACGUUGGCCCCUGACCGGGGUUGCGGACAGUGUCUGGUGGGUAGUUUGACUGGGGCGGUCUCCUCCCAAAGAGUAACGGAGGAGCACGAAGGUUAGCUAAUCCUGGUCGGACAUCAGGAGGUUAGUGCAAUGGCAUAAGCUAGCUUGACUGCGAGCGUGACGGCGCGAGCAGGUGCGAAAGCAGGUCAUAGUGAUCCGGUGGUUCUGAAUGGAAGGGCCAUCGCUCAACGGAUAAAAGGUACUCCGGGGAUAACAGGCUGAUACCGCCCAAGAGUUCAUAUCGACGGCGGUGUUUGGCACCUCGAUGUCGGCUCAUCACAUCCUGGGGCUGAAGUAGGUCCCAAGGGUAUGGCUGUUCGCCAUUUAAAGUGGUACGCGAGCUGGGUUUAGAACGUCGUGAGACAGUUCGGUCCCUAUCUGCCGUGGGCGCUGGAGAAUUGAGGGGGGCUGCUCCUAGUACGAGAGGACCGGAGUGGACGCAUCACUGGUGUUCGGGUUGUCAUGCCAAUGGCAUUGCCCGGUAGCUAAAUGCGGAAGAGAUAAGUGCUGAAAGCAUCUAAGCACGAAACUUGCCCCGAGAUGAGUUCUCCCUGAGACUUUAAGUCUCCUGAAGGAACGUUAAAGACGAUGACGUUGAUAGGUCGGGUGUGUAAGCGUAGCGAUACGUUGAGCUAACCGAUACUAAUGAACCGUGAGGCUUAACCUU